GCCUUCUUAGCUCAGUGGUAGAGCGCGUGGCUUUUAACCACAUUGAAUAUUUACGUGUUAAUAUAAAAGGCA
rnacentral:tRNA from 1 species